GACGAACGCUGGCGGCGUGCUUAACACAUGCAAGUCGAACGGAAAGGCCCUGCUUUUGUGGGGUUCUCGAGUGGCGAACGGGUGAGUAACACGUGAGUAACCUGCCCUUGACUUUGGGAUAACUUCAGGAAACUGGGGCUAAUACCGGAUAGGAGCUCCUGCUGCAUGGUGGGGGUUGGAAAGUUUCGGCGGUUGGGGAUGGACUCGCGGCUUAUCAGCUUGUUGGUGGGGUAGUGGCUUACCAAGGCUUUGACGGGUAGCCGGCCUGAGAGGGUGACCGGCCACAUUGGGACUGAGAUACGGCCCAGACUCCUACGGGAGGCAGCAGUGGGGAAUAUUGCACAAUGGGCGGAAGCCUGAUGCAGCAACGCCGCGUGCGGGAUGACGGCCUUCGGGUUGUAAACCGCUUUCGCCUGUGACGCAGCGUGAGUGACGGUAAUGGGUAAAGAAGCACCGGCUAACUACGUG
rnacentral:rRNA from 1 species